rnacentral:rRNA from 1 species
ACUUACCUGGGCUCGAAGCACAGUGGACCGGGGUAGGAUACCCCUUUUCGCAAGAACUGCUGUGGAGGUGCUGCAUGGCUGUCGUCAGCUCGUGUCGUGAGAUGUUGGGUUAAGUCCCGCAACGAGCGCAACCCUUAUCGUUAGUUGCCAGCGGGUCAAGCCGGGCACUCUAGCGAAACCGCCUCGGAUAACGGGGAGGAAGGUGGGGAUGACGUCAAGUCCUCAUGGCCUUUAUGUCCAGGGCUACACACGUGCUACAAUGGCCGGUACAAACCGUCGCAAACCCGCGAGGGGGAGCUAAUCGGAAAAAGCCGGCCUCAGUUCGGAUUGGAGUCUGCAACUCGACUCCAUGAAGCUGGAAUCGCUAGUAAUCGCGGAUCAGCACGCCGCGGUGAAUACGUUCCCGGGUCUUGUACACACCG